GUGGGGAAUUUUGGACAAUGGGCGCAAGCCUGAUCCAGCCAUGCCGCGUGCAGGAUGAAGGCCUUCGGGUUGUAAACUGCUUUUGUACGGAACGAAAAGACUUCUUCUAAUACAGGAGGUCCAUGACGGUACCGUAAGAAUAAGCACCGGCUAACUACGUGCCAGCAGCCGCGGUAAUACGUAGGGUGCAAGCGUUAAUCGGAAUUACUGGGCGUAAAGCGUGCGCAGGCGGUUAUAUAAGACAGAUGUGAAAUCCCCGGGCUCAACCUGGGAACUGCAUUUGUGACUGUAUAGCUAGAGUACGGUAGAGGGGGAUGGAAUUCCGCGUGUAGCAGUGAAAUGCGUAGAUAUGCGGAGGAACACCGAUGGCGAAGGCAAUCCCCUGGACCUGUACUGACGCUCAUGCACGAAAGCGUGGGGAGCAAACAGGAUUAGAUACCCUAGUAGUCC
rnacentral:rRNA from 1 species